GUGGGGAAUUUUCCACAAUGGGCGAAAGCCUGAUGGAGCAACGCCGCGUGAGUGAAGAAGGUUUUCGGAUCGUAAAGCUCUUUCGUUAGGGACGAACGUGCUCUUUGUGAAUAAUGAGGAGUAAUGACGGUACCUAAAUAAGAAGCCACGGCUAACUACGUGCCAGCAGCCGCGGUAAUACGUAGGUGGCAAGCGUUGUCCGGAAUUAUUGGGCGUAAAGCGCGCGCAGGCGGGAUAUCAAGUCUGUCUUAAAAGUGCGAGGCUCAACCUCGUGAGGGGACAGAAACUGGUAUUCUUGAGUGUCGGAGAGGAAAGUGGAAUUCCAAGUGUAGCGGUGAAAUGCGUAGAGAUUUGGAAGAACACCAGUGGCGAAGGCGACUUUCUGGACGAUGUCUGACGCUGAGGCGCGAAAGCUAGGGGAGCGAACGGGAUUAGAAACCCGAGUAGUCC
rnacentral:rRNA from 1 species